rnacentral:rRNA from 1 species
AUGAUCCCUAAGGUCAACUCACCGGAGUUGCUCUCUCAGUUCAGACCGAUAAGCCUCUGUAACGUGUUAUACAAGAUAGCAACGAAGGUGUUGGCCAAUAGACUCAAGGGCAUCCUUCCUUUUCUCAUCUCAGAG